CGCGAAGAACCUUACCUGGUCUUGACAUCCACAGAACUUUCCAGAGAUGGAUUGGUGCCUUCGGGAACUGUGAGACAGGUGCUGCAUGGCUGUCGUCAGCUCGUGUUGUGAAAUGUUGGGUUAAGUCCCGCAACGAGCGCAACCCUUAUCCUUUGUUGCCAGCGGUCCGGCCGGGAACUCAAAGGAGACUGCCAGUGAUAAACUGGAGGAAGGUGGGGAUGACGUCAAGUCAUCAUGGCCCUUACGACCAGGGCUACACACGUGCUACAAUGGCGCAUACAAAGAGAAGCGACCUCGCGAGAGCAAGCGGACCUCAUAAAGUGCGUCGUAGUCCGGAUUGGAGUCUGCAACUCGACUCCAUGAAGUCGGAAUCGCUAGUAAUCGUGGAUCAGAAUGCCACGGUGAAUACGUUCCCGGGCCUUGUACACACC
rnacentral:rRNA from 1 species